rnacentral:misc_RNA from 1 species
AACGCACAUUGCGCCCCUUGGUAUUCCGAGGGGCAUGCCUAUUCGAGCGUCAUUAUCACCCCUCAAGCGUAGCUUGGUGUUGAGGCCUGCUGUCAAGGCAGCCUCUAAAAUCAGUGGCAGUGCUGUCAGGCUCUAAGCGUAGUAAAAUUCAUCGCUAUAGACACCUGGUGGACACUCGCCAGAACCCCCCCAUUUUUUUAAUGAUUGACCUCGGAUUAGGUAGGGAUACCCGCUGAACUUAA